CCUACGGGCUGCUGCAGUGAGGAAUAUUGGUCAAUGGACGAGAGUCUGAACCAGCCAAGUAGCGUGAAGGAUGACUGCUCUAUGGGUUGUAAACUUCUUUUAUAUGGGAAUAAAAUGUUCCACGUGUGGGACUUUGUAUGUAUCAUAAGAAUAAGGCUCGGCUAACUCCGUGCCAGCAGCCGCGGUAAUACGGAGGGUCCGAGCGUUCUCCGGAUUUAUUGGGUUUAAAGGGAGCGUAGGUGGAUUGUUAAGUCAGUAGUGAAAGUUUGCGGCUCAACCGUAAAAUUGCAGUUGAAACUGGGAGUCUUGAGUGCAGUAGAGGUGGGCGGAAUUCGUGGUGUAGCGGUGAAAUGCUUAGAUAUCACGAAGAACUCCGAUGGCGAAGGCAGCUCACUGGACUGCAACUGACGCUGAGGCUCGAAAGUGUGGGUAUCAAACAGGAUUAGAUACCCCAGUAGUC
rnacentral:rRNA from 1 species